CCUAGCGUCAGUCUGUCACUCUGAGUCUCCGCCCCUGAAACAGUUAGCUCCGCCUCCUGCAGGCUCAGUCAGCAGGUGAUAGAAGAAACGCUAUGCACCUGCACAAAGUGAUGCGAUCCAGUCCGUGCCUGAGAGGACACGCUAUUCCUCCACAUAUUGGUUGAGGAGCUGUCAGUCUCCCACCGGCCACCAGCAGCAGCAGGACGCAGGACAUGAUCGCAUGUUUUUCAGAUGCAGAGUUUGGAGUUCGCAAUGUGGAAAUACAGCCACCAUCCCGCGGUGAGGAAGAGGAGGUUGACUAUGGGGAUAUGGAGGAGAAUGCUGAGGUUGGAGAUCCGAAUGCUGCAAUAUGUUUGGCCCUGCGCCAUAUGGAGCAUCAUGUGCAGGGCAUCCUUGAUGAAAUUAUUCUUUUACAAAAUAUUUUUGG